CCAUAUUGAAAUAUAUAUAUAUAUAUACACGCACACACACACAGAAUUAGUAAGCUAUCAUUAAUUGUAUUGUUAGAGUACUGAUUAGAUCUUUAUUAUUUUUUCUAGAUGAAGUGGAAUUUUACAAAAUGCAAGGAGAAGGUGUGCAGUACAUUCAGGUGUGAGGUGGCAGCCUGCAAUAUCCUGAUAAUUGACACGAUUUGGAAAAGAUUUGCAUAUUUACUGGGUUCCACCCACUAACAAGUGAAAAUGAAAGAGACAGUGUCAGGUUCCGACAGGAGAAACAGCCAAACUUUGCAUUUUCAGCUAAAAUAGUCAACUUUUUCAAAUACUCAAAAGCCCAGAGCAUGGAUUGUGGAUGCCAUAAUUUGAUUUUCAUAAAACAUGUCGGACACUCCAGCUUUUGUUGAACUACAAUUGUAACAUUUUUCUGCCAGGGCUCAAUGUAGAUUUCCACAGCAGUUUACAGUUCUGCUAUGCAGCAUGGCACAUUUGUUACAGGUACCAUACAAAUCCAGCUCAGAGUACAUGGCGUAAAACAGCAGAUUGGUAAAGUUAUCCGCAGAGCUCCCUGCACCGCACCAGAGUGUCCCAGGCAUCGUCAAGCCCCUCUUGUACCUGGCUCCAGC